CCUACGGGUGGCUGCAGUGAGGAAUAUUGGUCAAUGGCCGCAGGGCUGAACCAGCCAAGUCGCGUGAAGGAUGACGGCCCUAUGGAUUGUAAACCUCUUUUGUACGGGAGCAAAGGGCGCCACGUGUGGCGUUUUGCGAGUACCUGACGAAAAAGCAUCGGCUAACUCCGUGCCAGCAGCCGCGGUAAUACGGAGGAUCCGAGCGUUAUCCGGAUUUAUUGGGUUUAAAGGGUGCGCAGGCGGAUUGUUAAGUCAGCGGUAAAAUUUCGGGGCUCAACCCCGUCGUGCCGUUGAAACUGGCGUUCUAGAGAGAGCAAGCAGCAGGCGGAAUGUGUGGUGUAGCGGUGAAAUGCAUAGAUAUCACGCAGAACUCCGAUUGCGAAGGCAGCAUACUGGCGCGCAACUGACGCUCAUGCACGAAAGCGUGGGGAUCGAACAGGAUUAGAUACCCCGGUAGUC
rnacentral:rRNA from 1 species